AUUGAACGCUAGCGGGAUGCUUUACACAUGCAAGUCGAACGGCAGCGCGGACUUCGGUCUGGCGGCGCGUGGCGAACGGGUGAGUAAUGUAUCGGAACGUGCCCAGUAGCGGGGGAUAACUACGCGAAAGCGUAGCUAAUACCGCAUACGCCCUACGGGGGAAAGCCGGGGAUCGUAAGACCUUGCACUAUUGGAGCGGCCGAUAUCGGAUUAGCUAGUUGGUGAGGUAACGGCUCACCAAGGCGACGAUCCGUAGCUGGCUUGAGAGGACGACCAGCCACACUGGGACUGAGACACGGCCCAGACUCCUACGGGAGGCAGCAGUGGGGAAUUUUGGACAAUGGGGGAAACCCUGAUCCAGCCAUCCCGCGUGUGCGAUGAAGGCCUUCGGGUUGUAAAGCACUUUUGGCAGGAAAGAAACGUCGCGGGCUAAUACCCCGUGGAACUGACGGUACCUGCAGAAUAAGCACCGGCUAACUACGUG
rnacentral:rRNA from 1 species